CCGAUUCGCAACGGUGCCGUCACGACGAAUUCGCAGUCAGAAAUCAAACGCCUUCAUCUUCGUUACAAUCGACGACCUUCAUCGUUCAUCAUCCUCAUCGCUCUUCAAAAAAGCAAAUCGCACCAGAGAGGGUCGGAGGAUCGGAAGGUCGGACGGAGCUUCGAAUCAUCUGAGCGUCGAACUCGUCUUCACCAUCGUCGGUAAGUGCUGAAUCGCGUUAGCUUCUGUUGUGUGUGUAUGUGUG
rnacentral:lncRNA from 1 species